ACGGAGGGUGCGAGCGUUGUCUGGAAUCAUUGGGCGUAAAGGGCGCGUAGGUGGCCCGGUCAGUCUUUGGUGAAAGCGCGGGGCUCAACCCUGCGUCGGCCAGGGAUACUGCCGCGGCUGGAGCACUGUAGAGGCAGGCGGAAUUCCGGGUGUAGCGGUGGAAUGCGUAGAGAUCCGGAAGAACACCGGUGGCGAAGGCGGCAUCCUGGACCGGCAUUGACGCUGCGGCGCGAAAGCCAGGGGAGCAAACGGGA
rnacentral:rRNA from 1 species